AGUCAUUUCCCUUGCAGUUCAACUCUCAAACUUGCAAAAGUGCAAAUCCUAUUUACUUACACAGAACAACCAAGUACAAGUCGCUAUGAUCCUCAAACGCUUCCUUGACCCGCCACCAUCUCCCACCACCACCGUUAACCCCUUCCGCGUUUCCGCUUCAUCACUAUGCGACGCUGUUUCCCUCUUUCACGACCCCAAUUCACCGCCCUCCGAACCAGCUUGCAGCACCCUCAUCGACAACCUGCGAAAAUACGACGUCGUCGUGUCGGUUUACCGCAAGAUGGUCGCCGCGUGCGUCUCGCCCAGGUUCUCCUAUCUCAGCGCCUUAACCGAAAGCUUCGUCAUCACCCACCACCCAAGUUUCGCUCUUUCGGUCCUGAGCCUCAUGACAAAGCGCGGUUUCGGGGUCAACGUCUAUAAACUGAACCUCGUGCUCAAGGGGUUUUUGUAAAAGUGGUCAUUGCGAUAAGGCAAUGUCUGUGUUUUCUCAAAUGAAGAGGAAUUGUGACUGUGUGGUUCCUGAUAGUGUUACUUACAAUACCCUAAUAAAUGGGUUGGGUUUUGUAAAGCUAAGAGAUUGGUGGAAGCUAGGGUUUUGUUUGAGGUAAUGAAGGGUGGGGAUUUCAGACCUAACUUGGUGACUUAUAGUGUUUUGAUUGAUUGUUAUUGCAAGAGUGGUGAAGUGGGUGAGGGGUUCAGUUUGUUGGAGGAGAUGGAGAGGGAGGGUUUGAAAGCUGAUGUAUUUGUCCAUAGUUCUCUCAUUAGCGCGUUUUGUGGGGAGGGUGAUGUCGAGAAGGGAAGGGAGCUUUUUGAUGAGAUGUUGAUGAGGAAGGUUAGUCCCAAUGUGGUUACAUACAGCUGUUUGAUGCAGGGUCUUGGCAAGACCGGGCAGUGACUCAAGGCUUCUGAGAUGUUGAAGGACACGAUGGAUGAGAACAGAGGACGAGGCUAAGGUGUUGGAUUUGAUGGUGCAGGAGGGGGAGGAGCCGGGUACUUUGACAUACAAUGUUGUUGUGAAUGGGCUUUGUAAGGAGGAUCGGGUGGAUGAUGCACUUAGGGUUGUGGAAAUGAUGGCGAAGAAGGGGAAGAAACCCGAUGUGGUUACGUAUAAUACGUUAUUGAAAGGGCUGUGUGGAGCUGCUAAAAUUGAUGAGGCGAUGGAACUUUGGAAGCUGUUGUUGAGUGAGAAGUUCCAUGUGAAGCUGGAUGUCUUCACGUUUAAUAAUUUAAUUCAGGGACUUUGCAAGGAAGGUCGUGUUCAUGAUGCUGCAAUGAUCCAUUAUUCGAUGGUUGAAAUGUGGCUCCAAGGUAACAUAGUAACUUACAAUAUUUUGAUUGAGGGCUAUCUAGAUGCUAGGAAACUUAUUGAGGGGUUGCAACUCUGGAAAUAUGCAGUGGAGUCUGGAUUUUCUCCCAAUUCAAUGACUUAUAGUGUUAUGAUUAAUGGUCUGUGUAAAAUGCAGAUGUUGAUGUUGUCUUCUUUAAUAUAAUAAUUGAUGGAACCCUCAAAGCAGGGAUGUUAAAUCUGCCAAGGUUUUGCUAUCCGAGAUGCUUAAGAUGGAUUUGGUCCCUGAUGCUGUAACCUUUUCUAUAUUAAUAAACAGGUUUUCCAAACUUGGAAUGCUGUAUGAGGCCAUGGCGCUCUAUGAGAAAAUGGUCUCGUGUGGUCAUGUUCCGGAUGUUGUUGUAUUUGACUCUUUGCUAAAGGGCUAUGGUUUAAAAGGAGAGACAGAAAAAAUCAUUUCCUUGCUUCAUCAAAUGGCUGAUAAGGAUGUUGUCCCGGACUCAAAAUUAACUUCUACCAUCUUAGCUUGCCUUUGCCACAUGUCAAGAGAUCUUGAUGUAGAGACAAUUCUUCCAAAAUUGUCACAACAAAGUGAACAUACAUCAAAAGGAGCAACCAUUAAAUGUCAUGAGCUCUUGAUGAAGCCGAAUAAUGUUCAUCCAGAACUAAAAUUAUAUGUUGCACAAUAGUCGUUGUUUUCAAGAGCAUGAUGUCAUGGUACACUAAAGUGCUGUGUGCUUAUGCUAGGAGACACUUAUGCAGUCUUGGAUUUUGAUCAGAGGGAUUGGCAACCUGACAACCAUGGAGUUUUGAGGUCAUUGACAUUUCAACCAGUUGCCAUUUUAUGGUAAAGAGAUGCAAGUGUAAAAUUCAGCUUCAUCGUAUCAAUGCCCCAUUUGAUACUAUAACUAGUCCAUGAAUAAGAUUGGCAAAAUGUCUUGCAGAGUUGAAGAUGUCACGGCGGUAACAUUGUAGCUGAGACAUCCCGGAGCUGAGUGUUGUCGUACUAGAUUAAUUAUUUGUUAUAUAUGAUUAACUUUAAGCAUCUUUACCUAUUUAGAGACAGAGUAAAGACAUAAUGUAAAGUAGAAAUGACCAACUGUAAAAACACAAAUAGUCACAACUAAUGUGUCUAUAGCGGUUUGUGGAAAAUUGCGGAAAGCGGAAGUCAUAUAAUGAAUGAAAUAUAUAAUAUACAUCAAA